AAGGACAUGGUUUUCCACCCGAACGGACAUACACCGCUUGCUUCUCUGAUUUUAACCUACCGCGGGUGAGUAACCUGUGGAUUACCUACCUAUGAUAUCGGGACAUCUUCUGGAAAGCGGAGCUAAUACCGGACCUAAUCUUUAACCGCAAGGUUUAGAAGAGAUCUACAGUUUUGCUGUCAAUUUCAGUGUGACUGACGCUGCACUAACUAGUUUCUAUUGUCCCGGCUUACGAUGGCUCCGAUCCAUAACCGACCUGGCAGGGUGAUCGGCCACACCGAAAGUGAUACACAGUCCAUACUCCUCCGGGAGGCAGCAAUGGGGACUCUUCCGCGGUGGGCCAACGCCUGACGGAGCUACGCCACCAGUGACAUCAUCGUCUUCUGAUCGAACAACUCUGUUAUUGAAGAAGAACAUAUAUGUAACUAACUGUGCACAUCUCGACGGUACCUAAUCGGAAGACCACUGCUAAUUACUUGCAAACUGCCGCUUCUAUACCUACGUGAUAUGCGUCCUCCGGAAUUAUGGGGCUUACUGCGCCUGCAUGCAGUAUUUUAACUCUAAUUUGAACGCCCACGGCUCAACCGUGGACGGGAAUUGGAAACUGGACAACUUGAGUGCCUAAGACGAUUGUGGAAUUCCAUGUGUUCCGUUCAACUGCGCAGAUGAUGGCAGGAACACUCGUGGCGCGCACCACUUUCUGGUCUGUUAGUAACACCGAUGUGCGGAAGACUGUGGAGCAAAGUAGAUUAGAUACCCUGGUAGUCCACGCCUUAAACGACCAUUGCUAAUUGUAAUGCGGUUUCUGCCCCUUAAUGCUGCAGCUAACCGACUACGCACUCCGCCAGGGGAGUACUACCGCCUGAUUGGUGCUCAAAGGACUGGACCUGCACCCUCACGUACACGUGGAUGAAGUUGCAUCAUUUACAGCGACGUCUAGAACUCUACGAGUUUCGGUCAUCCUUAGACAGCUCUCGAGACAGAGCCGUCCUCUUCUGGGGACAAAGUGACUAAUGGUGCAGGGCUGUUUUUAGCUCCUGCCGUGCGAUUUUGGAAUAACCUCCCGCGAGUAUCACCACUCUUGAGGAUACUUGCCGUCUAUAAAUUGAGACCUCUAAUUUGACUGCUGGUGACAAACCGGAGGAAGGUGGGGAUGACGUCAAAUCAUCAUGCCCCUUAUGAUUUGGGCUACACACGUGCUACAAUGGACAAUACAAAGGGCAGCGAAACCGCGAGGUCAAGCAAAUCCCAUAAAGUUGUUCUCAGUUCGGAUUGUAGUCUGCAACUCGACUACAUGAAGCUGGAAUCGCUAGUAAUCGUAGAUCAGCAUGCUACGGUGAAUACGUUCCCGGGUCUUGUACACACCGCCCGUCACACCACGAGAGUUUGUAACACCCGAAGCCGGUGGAGUAACCUUUUAGGAGCUAGCCGUCGAAGGUGGACG
rnacentral:rRNA from 1 species